rnacentral:rRNA from 1 species
UGGCGGACGGGUGAGUAACGCGUGGGAAUCUACCCAUCUCUACGGAAUAACUCAGGGAAACUUGUGCUAAUACCGUAUACGCCCUACGGGGGAAAGAUUUAUCGGAGAUGGAUGAGCCCGCGUUGGAUUAGCUAGUUGGUGGGGUAAAGGCCUACCAAGGCGACGAUCCAUAGCUGGUCUGAGAGGAUGAUCAGCCACAUUGGGACUGAGACACGGCCCAAACUCCUACGGGAGGCAGCAGUGGGGAAUCUUGGACAAUGGGCGCAAGCCUGAUCCAGCCAUGCCGCGUGAGUGAAGAAGGCCUUAGGGUUGUAAAGCUCUUUUGCCAGGGACGAUAAUGACGGUACCUGGAGAAUAAGCCCCGGCAAACUUCGUGCCAGCAGCCGCGGUAAU